GUUAUUUGAAGUGGACAAUAGUGCCAUCCACACACAUUUAAAAGGGUAAAAGAGAUGCAGGACUUGGCACACCUGCCAAAUAUC
rnacentral:ncRNA from 12 species